CCUACGGGGAGCUGCAGUGAGGAAUAUUGGUCAAUGGGCGGGAGCCUGAACCAGCCAAGUCGCGUGAGGGAAGACGGUCCUAUGGAUUGUAAACCUCUUUAGGCGGGGAGCAAUGCCGGGCACGCGUGCCCGGCGGGAGAGUACCCGCAGAAUAAGCAUCGGCUAACUCCGUGCCAGCAGCCGCGGUAAUACGGAGGAUGCGAGCGUUAUCCGGAUUUAUUGGGUUUAAAGGGUGCGUAGGCGGAUUUUUAAGUCAGCGGUAAAAUGUCCGGGCUCAACCCGGGCCGGCCGUUGAAACUGGCUGUCUUGAGAUGGCGAGAGGUAUGCGGAAUGCGCAGUGUAGCGGUGAAAUGCUUAGAUAUUGCGCAGAACUCCGAUUGCGAAGGCAGCAUACCGGCGGCGAUCUGACGCUGAGGCACGAAAGCGUGGGUAUCGAACAGGAUUAGAUACCCCAGUAGUC
rnacentral:rRNA from 1 species